UAAAAACAAAGGGAAAAAAUUCAAAGCUCCCUAUUUUAGCUUUGAAACCCUAGAUAUUAUAAUCGUCAUCGUUGCUUGCACAUAACCUCCCUGCUGUCACACUUAUCUACAAUCUCGUUUCUCUUUGGAAUUCUACUCUCACGAAUUCUGCUAGUAGAAUGGCUGGUCAUCGGAGUAAUUAUGGCAAGCGGCCACAUUCGCAGUCUGACUACUCUGAAAGCGGGGGAAAUAAAAGAAGAAAUUCUGGAAGUGGUGAUAAAGAUGCAUACUCUAUUGGACAAGAUGAUACAGUGUAUCGCUAUUUGUGCCCUGGAAAGAAGAUCGGAAGUAUUAUUGGAAGGGGUGGGGAAAUUGUCAAGCAACUGAGGUUGGAUACUAAAUCCAAAAUUCGAAUUGGGGAAUCUAUACCCGGAAGCGAAGAACGUGUUGUUACUAUAUAUAGUGCUAGUGAGGAAACCAAUGAUUUGGAAGGCCGUGAUGGUCUAGUAUGCCCUGCUGAAGAUGCUCUCUUUAAGGUGCAUGAUAGAAUUGUUGCUGAGGAUUCUGCUGCAGAGGACUCGGAUGACCCCCCUCAUGUUACUGUCCGACUUCUAGUGCCAUCUGAUCAGAUUGGGUGUAUCAUUGGAAAGGGUGGACAGAUAGUUCAAAACAUUCGUAGUGAAACUGGGGCACAGGUUCGCAUUGUAAAGGAUGACCAUCUGCCAACAUGUGCUCUGAGUUCAGACGAACUUGUGCAGAUAUCCGGUGAUGCGUCUGUGGUGAAGAAAGCUCUUCAUCAGAUUGCAUCUCGGCUUCAUGACAAUCCCUCACGAUCUCAGCAUCUGCUCUCUUCAGCUAAUCAUACUGUCUACCCGUCUAAUAGUUCAGUUAUGGGGGCGUCAGCUGGUCCUCCAAUCAUGGGAUUGGCACCACUCAUGGGGCACUAUGGGGGAUACAAGGGCGAGAGUGCAGACUGGUCCCAGUCUAUGUACUCAGCUCCAAGGACUGAAACAUCGCCAAAAGAAUUCUCACUUCGUUUGGUGUGUCCAACUGCUAAUAUUGGAGGUGUCAUUGGCAAGGGUGGUAUGAUAAUUAAUCAAAUAAGGCAGGAUUCUGGGGCAGGUAUUAAAGUUGAUAGUGCAGCCUCUGAGGGAGAUGAACGUGUGAUAUCCAUAACUGCGAAAGAGGUCUUUGAAGAUUCCUUCUCUCCAGCAAUUGAUGCAGCUUUGCGAUUACAGCCCAGGUGCAGUGAGAAAGUUGAAAGAGACUCUGGUCUUGUUUCAUUUACAACACGAUUACUUGUUCCUACUUCUCGAAUUGGAUGUCUUAUUGGGAAAGGAGGGUCCAUAAUAUCAGAGAUGAGGAAAGUCACCAAGGCCAAUAUUCGUAUACUAUCAAAAGAAAAUCUCCCUAAAGUUGCCUCUGAGGAUGAUGAGAUGGUGCAGGUUUCCGGAGACCUUGAUGUGGCCAAGGAUGCUCUCAUACAAGUAACUUCACGCUUGAGGGCUAAUCUGUUUGAAAAGGAGGGUGCUGUCUCUACAUUCCUGCCUGUCCUCCCAUAUCUUCCUAUGUCCGCAGAUGGUCCAGACAGUUAUAAAUAUGAAAGUAGAGAUUCAAAGAGCCGUGGGCGUGGGGGUUAUUCUUACUCUGGUGGAUAUGGUGCAGCGGAUCUGCCACCUGUGGAUACAUAUGGUGGUCACGGUGGUUUUCAGAGUGGUAGUGCCAGCUCUCCUUAUGGCGCUUAUGGUGGGAGCUAUUCAUCUGGACGCUCUGUUGGUUCUGGGUUGUCAGGGCGUAAUCAUGCUUCACGUGGGAGGAACUAUGACUACUAGAGGAAAUUAUUAAAUACAGGAAGUGAACAUGUCGAGAACCAGGUCUGUUGGAAUUUGCAAGCAUUUACUCAGUUCUCCGACGUCUUUUGGAAAAUCGUGGUUGUCAUUGGUAUUUGUCUAUAACUAGAGUUACUAUCAAUGGCGUGCUUGUGGAAUCAGCAGUAAUUGAAGACUAUGUCUCUGCCAACAGGUUCACAUUUGGUGGAUGGCUGUGAUGACUACAGGUAAUUUUCACCUAAAAUAUUCAGUAUUUUAGUCUUUCACAAUCCAAUUGAUAUGAGGUAUGGUUUCUGCCCUGGUGCUGGUGCAAGUCCAUAAUUUAUUGCACUCUUAUCUGCAAUUUACAUGUUGCCUUUAAUGUUGAUUUCAUAUUCAGGCAUGGAUUUUCAUCUGGCAGUGAAUGCGUCAUUUUUGUUUUGAAUAAUGUUUCAUCAUGUUUAGAAAUUAGAAGCAUGUUUGAAGUUGCUUACGUUAUUAGAACAUAAUUUUGUUUAUAGUUGGAGCGAGGAAAUUUGUCAUUUGUAGGUUUACAUUCUGCUAUCUCGAACAAUUUCUAGUAUAUAAGCCAAGUGUAUGCAAAAUCACCUUGGGUCCUUGGGUGUACUUUGCCACAACAAAAUACUAGAUGCUGGAGAGCUUUCAACUAAUUUAGUAGUAUUUCUUAGAUCAGUUAUCUAAGAAGCAGAGUGAGCUUGUUGGAUCAUACUCUCGAGCUUGUCUAUAUCCAGUUAAGCUCGAUCAUAAAUCAUCGUGCAAGUCACGAGGGGAAGUCGUGAUCUGGCCUACUUACAUAUUUUUCAUUACUGCCUAUUUUGAGCUGUGUAGCCUUUGCUAUCAAAUUGAUGUUGGAUAUAUGAGAAGAAUCAACAUGCAGGGUGUUUUCGUCUUUUACAUUUCAUGAUUCGUAUCCUUCCAGCUAAAAUACUAGUUCAAACGAUUUAUUUUAUGUAUUGCAAGGAUAGUCGAUUUGGAAAUUGUAAUUAUAAUAAGACGCUGGAUAAAAUUUAUUUUACCUCAUCAAGAGCUUUAGGUUAAUAUAUACUCCUACCUAUUUCUAAAUUCAAGAAAACUGUAUGCUUUUAUUUGGUGGAACAAAGCACAAUACACACUUAAGUAAAAGAUUACCAAACAAUGAUUAAAGCUGGAUAUAUUCUUUUCAAAUAUUUUCAUCUAUUCUAAGAAGUAAAAGGGGUGAACUGUUUAUGAUGCUACCUACCCUAUAAACAAGGAGUACAGUAUUUUUUAAAAAAAUUAAAUAAAAUCGUGAAAUAGAUUAUUCUUACUUCUGUUUGCAAUAGUGGAGGUGACAAUGAAAUAGUAUAUCAUUAUUGAAUUUUGCAUGUAGUAUGUCCAAGGUGGAUCCUAGAACUGACCAAUCACAACUACAUUUGUUUAGAAUUAAAUUACUUUCAUCACAAUUGGUAAACAGAGUAAAUGAGUGCUGAAAAGCAAAACUGUGAUGCAGGUAAGGAAAUUGAAAAACACAUGGAAACAUCAUGAGCACCAAUAUACAAAUGAAUGUAAAGCUCAUAGUCCUCUCUGCAAGACUGACCUAUCGCCACGUGUACACUACAGUUGCAAUUAUAGAGGAGUGUCAUACAUCUAAGACUAUCACCUCAGUGAGAAGAUUUGGGUAUUACCCAAGUCAGCACUGUUGAGGAGCUACCAUUCUGCACAAGGCUGCUGCAUUAUUUAUUGAAGAGCCUUAUUCAUUUAUUAUUACUACUACUAUUACUUGCAAAGAGAAAAUAUUUCCCAUGUUGAGACUGUUUUCCCCUCCAAUGGGAUUCUUUCUAUCUACAUUCUCUACUGCAUAGGCUUCCUUCUUCAGGCCUUGCUUCACUUGGCCAUCCCCUUGGGAAUGUUGUUUUUCUCCUUUCGGGAGGAGAGAGAGAGAGAGGCGCGUGUUGCGAUUGGUCGAGGUUUCUGUAAUCUCAUCUGAGUUCUUGCAUGAGGUGAUUAGGUUAGAAGACUUAGCCAAGGAUGACUUGCCGGUGCAUUACAUUGUUUGGAACCGGCGAGUUAUUUUUUGCUAUGCCUAAGCCUGGUUUGUCUCAUGCUAGAAUGUUGAUGAUUUGCAUAAUUUCUUGAUACAACUGUGGAUAAUGGAGGUGAUAUGACUAAUUACUAAUUAUGUUGAAAUGGCAGUUUUAGCCAACUUUUUAGGCUUUUUUUUUCUUGAUUUGCUAUUAGCACACCAUGUGAGUCUAAUUAUUGUGCAGUCAAUAGAAUAAAUUAUGAAUAUGAGGUGUCAUAGUUUUAAUUACUACAUUUAAUUUUAUAUUAUAUCGUGCCAUGUGUCUGUCAUUCUGUGAUUUGCAGAUGUAAGAACACAUAAAAUGGUUAAGGUGAGUGUCCCUUCUUUCCUUUUCCUCUUUUCUUUUUGGUAAUUAUUUUUAUUUUUAUUUUUAUUAUCGAGUAUUUUACUGAAGUGGAUUUUGUGUUUUUAAAUUAAUCUGAAUUAUUCUUUCUAGGGUUACUCCCAAGAACUGGUGCCCAAUGAUGGCAGAAGAAGGAAUAUCAAUAUUUUGGUGAGUUUGGAAGCAUAAACACAUUAAAGGACACUUAUAUUUUAAAUGUAUUUAAUUAAAUUGUAUUUUAGUCUAUUCUGUAAAGCAAUCUAAUACUACUGUAGUACUGUACAGAGUAACCAAUAUGUGUAUAAGAAAGAGAUCAAUAUGAGUUAAUUUCAGAACAA